GUAGGGAAUAUUGGGCAAUGGUCGGAAGACUGACCCAGCCAUGCCGCGUGCAGGAAGACGGCCCUCUGGGUUGUAAACUGCUUUUAUCUGGGAAGAAAAAGGCCAUGCGUGGCAAAUUGCCGGUACCAGAUGAAUAAGCACCGGCUAACUCCGUGCCAGCAGCCGCGGUAAUACGGAGGGUGCAAGCGUUGUCCGGAUUUAUUGGGUUUAAAGGGUGCGUAGGCGGCUGAUUAAGUCAGCGGUGAAAGACUCCGGCUUAACCGGAGCAGUGCCGUUGAUACUGGUUAGCUUGAGUGUUGGAGGGGUACAUGGAAUUGAUGGUGUAGCGGUGAAAUGCAUAGAUACCAUCAGGAACACCGAUAGCGAAGGCAUUGUACUGGCCAACAACUGACGCUGAUGCACGAAAGUGUGGGGAUCGAACAGGAUUAGAAACCCGUGUAGUCC
rnacentral:rRNA from 1 species